AAACAAACAAACAAACAAAAUUUACUUACCAUAUAGGGCUAUUGUGAGAAUUGAAAGUACAAUGUAGAUCCUCAGUAUUUAUCCAAAAGAACCAAAAUCAUCAUACGGUGACAAUACAGCCACCUCAAUGUUUAUAGCAGCAAAAUUCACAGUAGCCAAAUUAUGAAACCAGCCCAGAUGCCUGUCAAUAGAUGAAUGGAUUAAGAAACUUUGGUGCAUAGAUACACAAUGGAGUUUUACUCAGCCACAAAGAAGAAUGAAAUCAUGGCAUUUGCCAGUAAAUGGGUGGAAAUGAGAAGGUUAUGUUAAGUGAAAUAAGCUAGACCGAGAAUAUCAAGGGCUGAGGGUUUUCUCUUAUGUUUGGAAGCUAGAGCAAAAUAAGGGAAAGAAGGAGGGUCGGGUCAGAUGUCAUGAAGAUGUAGGGAAGGUCAGUGGAGUAGAUGAGGGAGACUGAGAGAGAAGUAGUAGGACCCGGAAAAGGGAGGAAAUGAAGGUGAUGUCAAAAGAUCAUGCUCUGAUCAUGCACAAAUAUAUCACAGGGAAUGUCAUCCUGAUGUAUACGGAGAAAGAACCAAUCCCAAAUAAUAAAUAAGAAAGUUAAAGGGAGACCAGUAGCGUUGAGGAAGGAGAAUGGAGAAGGGGAGAAGGAAGGAAGAGGGGAAGCUGUGCGCUGAAAUGAAAUUCCAUGCACGUAUGAUUAUGUUGGGAUUAAGUCAGCGAUUACGUAUAACUCUAGUGCUCUAAUUUUUAAGAAAAGAAAAGAAAGUGUAGAACCAAGAUGCCAUGAAUGGCCCUCAGUGGCGGCUAAUUUCCUUUUCUUUUUUCUUCACAACGUUGUUCCUAAAUCCUUUGCUGUCACUAAGUAAGUGCUCAGCACAUACUUGAAGCAUAAGCAAAAAGUGCCAGUGUCCCCAUGAAUCUUUUCUGAGCAUGACAAGGCA
rnacentral:lncRNA from 1 species